rnacentral:rRNA from 1 species
AGCAGCCGCGGUAAUUCCGGCUCCAAUAGCGUAUAUUAAAGUUGCUGCAGUUAAAAAGCUCGUAGUUGAAUUUCGGGACUAAUAUGUCGGUCGUGCCUCGGUACGUACUGGCUUAUUGGUUUCUCCUUUCUGAAGAACCAUGAUGUCAUUUAUUUGGUGUCGUGGGGAAUCAGGACUGUUACUUUGAAAAAAUUAGAGUGUUUAAAGCAGGCUCACGCUUGAAUACAUUAGCAUGGAAUAAUGAAAUAGGACGUUUGAUUCUAUUUUGUUGGUUUCUAGGAUCGACGUAAUGAUUAAUAGGGAUAGUUGGGGGCAUUAGUAUUCAAUUGUCAGAGGCGAAAUUCUUGGAUUUAUUGAAGACUAACUACUGCGAAAGCAUUUGCCAAGGAUGUUUUCAUUAAUCAAGAACGAAAGUUAGGGGAUCGAAGACGAUCAGAUACCGUCGUAGUCUUAACCAUAAAACUAUGCCGACUAGGGAUCGGAUGAUGUUAAUUUUUUAAUGACUCAUUCGGCGCC